UACGUAGGUGGCGAGCGUUGUCCGGAUUUACUGGGCGUAAAGCGCGCGCAGGCGGCUGGUCAAGUCCGAUGUGAAAGCUCCCGGCUUAACUGGGAAAUUGCAUCGGAAACUGAUCGGCUGGAAGGUGGGAGAGGGUAGCGGAAUUCCCGGUGUAGCGGUGGAAUGCGUAGAGAUCGGGAAGAACAUCGGUGGCGAAGGCGGCCAGCUGGGCCGUUGCUGACGCUGAGGCGCGACAGCGUGGGGAGCAAACAGG
rnacentral:rRNA from 1 species